rnacentral:rRNA from 1 species
AAUUUGCAGAGGCAGCUUCUGGUGCGGUGCCGUCCGAGUCUCCUGGAACGGAGCGCCAUAGAGGGUGAGAGCCCCGUAUGGACGGAUGCCAAACCUGUGUGAAGCUCCUUCGACGAGUCGAGUAGUUUGGGAAUGCUGCUCUAAAUGGGAGGUAAAUUCCUUCUAAAGCUAAAUAUUGGCCAGAGACCGAUAGCGCACAAGUAGAGUGAUCGAAAGAUGAAAAGCACUUUGAAAAGAGGGUUAAACAGCACGUGAAAUUGUUGAAAGGGAAGCGCUUGUGACCAGACUUGAGCGCGGCGGAUCAUCCGGUGUUCUCACCGGNGCACUCCGCCGNGUCCAGGCCAGCAUCGGCUUCCGAGGNGGGACAAAGGGCCCGGGAACGUANCUCCUCCGGGAGCGUUAUNGCCCAAGGCGCAAUGNCCCCGCGG